UACGAAGGGGGCUAGCGUUGUUCGGAUUUACUGGGCGUAAAGCGCACGUAGGCGGAUCGUUAAGUCGGGGGUGAAAUCCUGGAGCUCAACUCCAGAACUGCCUUCGAUACUGGCGAUCUCGAGUCCGGAAGAGGUGAGUGGAACUCCUAGUGUAGAGGUGGAAUUCGUAGAUAUUAGGAAGAACACCAGUGGCGAAGGCGACUUACUGGACACAUAUUGACGCUGAGGUGCGAAAGCGUGGGGAGCAAACAGG
rnacentral:rRNA from 1 species